AUUGAACGCUGGCGGAAUGCUUUACACAUGCAAGUCGAACGGCAGCACGGACUUCGGUCUGGUGGCGAGUGGCGAGCGGGUGAGUAAUGUAUCGGAACGUGCCCAGUCGUGGGGGAUAACGUAGUGAAAAUUACGCUAAUACCGCAUACGAUCUAUGGAUGAAAGCGGGGGACCGUAAGGCCUCGCGCGAUUGGAGCGGCCGAUAUCAGAUUAGGUAGUUGGUGGGGCAAAGGCUCACCAAGCCGACGAUCGGUAGCUGGUCUGAGAGGACGACCAGCCACACUGGAACUGAGACACGGUCCAGACUCCUACGGGAGGCAGCAGUGGGGAAUUUUGGACAAUGGGCGCAAGCCUGAUCCAGCCAUUCCGCGUGCAGGAUGAAGGCCCUCGGGUUGUAAACUGCUUUUGUACGGAACGAAAAGGCUCUGGUUAAUACCUGGGGCUCAUGACGGUACCGUAAGAAUAAGCACCGGCUAACUACGUGCCAGCCGCCGCUGUAA
rnacentral:rRNA from 1 species